GACAAUAAACACGUGUGACACCCGCACAUAAUACCCGUAUAACUAUACACGGUACAAAAAUGUAAAAAACCCUCGAUUUUCCCUGUCACGAAAACAAAUUUAUAGCACUCGAUUUCGAUACACGUAUAGGUACACGAUCAUGUUUGACGGCCAUAGUCGGAACGGGAUUUACUUGCUUGUACGCGCACAAAAUACAACAGUGAUCCAAGAAACGGCGUGACGCAGUGGUGGUUUUAUGGAUGGGAGAGGGGAGAGGACUGAG